GAUUUCGAUCUCUGCUUACUGCAACCUCCACCUCCCAGGUUCCAGCAAUUCUCAUGCCUCAGCUCCCCAAGUAACUGGGAUUACAGGCGCCCACCACUACGCCUGGCUAAUUUUUGUAUUUUUAGUGGGUUUCUCCAUGUUGGCCAGGCUAGUCUUGAACUCCUGACUUCAGAUGAUCCACCCGCCUUGGCCUCCCAAAGUGCUGGGAUUACAAGUGUGAGCCACCAUGCCUGGCCAAUAGGCGAGGAUUUUAUUGGCCAAGUACAACUUGAGCUUGUGCUUCUUUAAGGAUAUCCCAGGUUUGGAUGAGUGUUGAGGAAGAGAAAGGCUAUUCAAAGGGCCUGGGGUUGUGGGAACAGAGUUGAUAAUGCAUCAGAAUGCAGAGAUGAUGGGGAGGAAUCCUAGUUGGAGGGAAACGACACAGGUGAUUGAAUGGUAGUGUUAGUGGUAGAUCUUGGG
rnacentral:lncRNA from 1 species